AGAGUUUGAUCCUGGCUCAGAAUCAACGCUGGCGGCGUGCCUAACACAUGCAAGUCGAACGCGAAAGCCCCGCAAGGGGUAAGUAGAGUGGCAAACGGGUGAGUAACACGUGGGUGACCUGCCUUCGAGUGGGGGAUAACGUCCCGAAAGGGACGCUAAUACCGCAUGACAUCCUGCUUUUGGAAAAGCGGAGAUCAAAGCCGGGGAUCGCAAGACCUGGCGCUUGAAGAGGGGCCCGCGCCUGAUUAGCUAGUUGGUAGGGUAACGGCCUACCAAGGCAACGAUCAGUAUCCGGCCUGAGAGGGCGGACGGACACACUGGGACUGAGACACGGCCCAGACUCCUACGGGAGGCAGCAGUGGGGAAUUGUUCGCAAUGGGCGCAAGCCUGACGACGCAACGCCGCGUGGAGGACGAAGAUCUUCGGGUCGUAAACUCCUGUCGAGCGGGAAGAACGCUUCCCGGGUGAAUAAUCCGGGGAAUUGACGGUACCGCUAAAGGAAGCCCCGGCUAACUCCGUGCCAGCAGCCGCGGUAAUACGGGGGGGGCAAGCGUUGUUCGGAAUUACUGGGCGUAAAGGGCUCGUAGGCGGCCAACUAAGUCGGAUGUGAAAUCCCCAGGCUUAACCUGGGAACUGCAUCUGAUACUGGAUGGCUUGAAUCCGGGAGAGGGAUGCAGAAUUCCAGGUGUAGCGGUGAAAUGCGUAGAUAUCUGGAGGAAUACCGGUGGCGAAGCGGCAUCCUGGACCGGCAUUGACGCUGAUGAGCGAAAGCUAGGGAGCAAACGGGAUUAGAUACCCCGGUAGUCC
rnacentral:rRNA from 1 species